AGCGAACGCUGGCGGCAUGCCUAACACAUGCAAGUCGAACGAGACCUUCGGGUCUAGUGGCGCACGGGUGCGUAACGCGUGGGAACCUGCCCUUAGGUUCGGAAUAACUCCCCGAAAGGGGUGCUAAUACCGGAUAAUGUCUUCGGACCAAAGAUUUAUCGCCUUUGGAUGGGCCCGCGUUGGAUUAGCUAGUUGGUAGGGUAAAAGCCUACCAAGGCGACGAUCCAUAGCUGGUCUGAGAGGAUGAUCAGCCACACUGGGACUGAGACACGGCCCAGACUCCUACGGGAGGCAGCAGUGGGGAAUAUUGGACAAUGGGCGAAAACCUGAUCCAGCAAUGCCGCGUGAGUGAUGAAGGCCUUAGGGUUGUAAAGCUCUUUUACCCGGGAUGAUAAUGACAGUACCGGGAGAAUAAGCUCCGGCUAACUCCGUG
rnacentral:rRNA from 1 species